rfam:Populus trichocarpa isolate Nisqually-1 chromosome 16, whole genome shotgun sequence.
UAAUCUUUCUUGAGCAAAUCAUCAUCUAGUUAUGGUAGAUCUACACCUGACUACUCACAAUUAGCUAUUAUCCCAAGCCCGACUACAUCACCAUCAACCUCUUGGAGAAGCUCUUAACAAACAAUUUGAUGUGUUGAAUGAAG